GGAUCAUUUGGUGCAAGGUACUGCAUUGCUCUCCUGUGUGUCUGUUAAGACCACAGAUAAUGAAGUAUAGCAGUGGUGUCAUAUGUGCAGUGACAAACAGGAAGAUGGAGAAUAAAAUUAAUCUGUUGUUUAUUAUUGGAAUAAUGAACAAGAAGAAUGAAUCUACUCUGUCCUUCAGAGGUGCCUUGGCUAUAAAUUUAAAGCUGUGAGAGCAUAAUAACUUGCAAUUAUCACUUGACUUGUACAGUUCAUCCUCACUGCUGUCCAAGACUAGGGGAGCUCAGAUUUCAGCCAGCUAUGAGCUCAAGAAUGAAAAUUCCUGGUCUUGCAGCAACAGGGAACCAACACCAGAUGUCAUGAUCACAGCUUUAUCAACUACUUGGAAGAACUUCAUGCUGUGCCUUCUAUACUUUCAGCAGAACUGCAACUUUCUUGCAAAAUACUUAGAGUAGAACCUGUGGCACAGGUGGCUUUGGUCAUAAUUCAUCACAGCAAGGUGUAGUCUAAAGGCUAGAGCACAAAAAAGAGAGAGAAAGGAGGUGAAUGGCAUGUACACUCUCUUUCUGACUUUCGCUCCAGUUCACAGCCUGGUAGGAGAGAGUAGUAGCGUCGUCCAAGGAGUUUCUGAAUUCAAACACGUUUAGCAUAGUACCUUCCUCCUUUCAUUUCCCAGAUAGGGACAGCAGGAUUUCACUUAUGGAAAAUUUGAAGCAGGUUUAUUUUGAAGAGCAUUGUUUUGACCAAAAUGUUCUCAUCACUGUAGAGCUGCAUGCUCUUGUGCCUUAGAGCUGAUAUGCAAAUGUGGUUUCUUUCACCCAGUAAUUCCUCCUUGUGCAUCAGGAGAUAGUAGCAAAUAGAACCUUCCCUUCUAAAAUUUCUCUUGGUUUGCAAUUCCCAGGUAGUGCUUGGCUAGGUUACUGUUCUCCCUGCUUACCAACAGGUUUCAGAAGCAAGCUUCCUUCUCAUUAGAGUUUAGGACUGCACCAAACAAAUUAUAUGAGCAAACUAUUAUCUGGAUAUGUUGAAAAUGUGAGCAAGGCCCCAUAAAGUUUACACAUCUGGUUUACAUUACAAUGGAAUUUAAUCUUGCUAUAGCAGUUCAGAGCAACCUUAGUGACAUUACUUCUGUGGUCCCUUUUCCAGGAUGAAACAAAAAACUGUAAGAGGUAUCUACAAAAAUGUUUGCUUUUCUCCAACUGUUUACCACUGACAUCCUAGUCUUGAAACUCCUCUUAAACCAUUUUUUAUUUCAUCACAUACUCUUGGUAUUUUAUUUUCAUUUUCCUAUGUCAUUGGAAUAGCUUCAGAUCUGCACUACUACUAUUUUGUCCAGUACUAGCAAGUUCCCUGUUUAUAAAAAUUCCACUGCAGCUGUUCAAACUGUCCUUUACUUAAACUGAAAUAAAAGAUGUUAUGCUACAAAAAGUA